UUCCUUUUCUGUUGUAGGUUACACUUUACUGUUAUGACUUUUCUCUUCUACAUACCUGUGUGCCACAGAUCUAUGAGAGAUCUAAUAUAUCCCAUCUGUUCUUAAAGUGUUGUCUCCAGAACAGCAGCAGCAGCAGCAUCACCUUGAACUUGUUCAAAUUCUCCAGCCCAACCCAGUGCCACUGAAUCAGAAACUCUGAGGUCCAGCAAUCUGUUUGACAGGCCCAGGCACUCUGAUGCAUGCUAAAGUAAAA
rnacentral:lncRNA from 1 species